GCCUUUGAGAAGUGUUUUCAUUGGGGUUUUUUAUGAUUAUAACUUGCUAAUUAGUUUAAUUAAAGAAUGUUAAGCCACCUAAAAUGGCUGAGAUUUAGCGAAACACUCAUCAAAUCUCAGCAACUUAUACAACAGAUAUAGACAAGUAUUUUGGUGGCGAGAUCAUUCAUCUACUUUCAGUGAAUUCACAUUGAGAUGACAUGUUAAAAUUAGUGAAUUUUGCUUACGUAUACGAGUAAAGUAAGAUCUCAGCUGAGAAACUCAUGCUAACACAAAAACUGCCUAACAAAAUUGUACCAAACUUUCACAUAUUAGAGUAUAAAUGCUCAGAAUGAUUUUAAAAGUGAAACAAACUGUUUAGUAACAAUAGUCAGCCUUUGAGAAGUGUUUUCAUUGGGUUUUUGAUGAUUAACUUGCUAGUUGGUUUAGUAAAACAAUGUCAAGCCACCUUAAAUGGCUGAGAUUUAGUCAAACACUCAUGAAAUCUCAGCAACUUAUACAACAGGUAUACACAAGUAUUUUGGUGGCGAGAUCUUUGAUCUACUUUCAGUGAAACCAAAUUUACAUUGAGAUGACAUGUUAAAAU